GGCCCGAGGUUUGCAGGCAGCGGGA
rnacentral:misc_RNA from 1 species